rnacentral:SRP_RNA from 1 species
UCGUGCUUGGAUGGGGUGCUAGGGGUGCCCUGUACCCGAAACCCUCUUUAGGCGGGAUCGACUUCCCCUCGAGGGGUGGCGUCCCUGAGUUCGUCAAAGUUAAGUAGCGUGGAAGGCCGGGUCCCGCGCGGCAGGAGCCUUCAAACCCCGCCAGGUCCGGGAGGAAGCAACGGUAAGGAGUGUCUCCUGGGUGCCGCGGGAGUGCCUGGCCGGAGCUGGCUGGCGGCGACUGCUCGGGUGGCCCACUUCGACAGGGGGUGCACGA